GAUCCCACAUUGGUUUGGAAUAGGGGUAAUGUGCUUCUUAUAUGGCCUUGGGCACUCCUUUCCCCUUGAACUGGUUUUUGGAGGUGAGUCAGGCCCGGCCUAUUUUCUUAAGCAGAACCACUAUAAUUACCAUUUACAUCAAGGUAAGCCAUCUGAUUGAGGCGAUUUCCCUGCUUUGAUAUUAUCUAAUGAAGCAUGAAGCUCAAGUAGAAUACUCUGACACACAAUACACAAGUAUUUGAGAUAAAAACUAUGCAUAUUUUAUUAAUUAAAUCUCUUAAAACUCUAAAAUACAUAGGAUAUAUGGGCUAUUUAUGAAGUCUUGAUCUCCUAAACCUAACAGUAAAAUUGAUAUACUAUUUAGGAAUUUUAGAUAAA
rnacentral:misc_RNA from 1 species